rnacentral:rRNA from 1 species
UCGAGAAUAUUCCACAAUGGGCGAAAGCCUGAUGGAGCGACACCGCGUGGAGGAUGAAGCAUUUCGGUGUGUAAACUCCUUUUCUACAGGAGAAAGCGCGUGAAGCGUGUGAUAGUACUGUAGGAAUAAGUGGCUGCAAACUUCGUGCCAGCAGCCGCGGUAAUACGAAGGCCACAAGCGUUAUCCGGAUUUAUUGGGCGUAAAGGGCGCGUAGGGGGCUUAGCAAGUCUGCGGUAAAAUUUCAGGGCUCAACCCUGAACCUGCCGUGGAAACUGCAAAGCUAGAGGGCGUUAGAGGCAGAUGGAACACACGGUGUAGGGGUGAAAUCCGUUGAUAUCGUGUGGAACACCAAAGGCGAAGGCAUUCUGCUGGGACGUUCCUGACCCUGAGGCGCGAAAGC